CCUACGGGUGGCAGCAGUGAGGAAUAUUGGUCAAUGGGCGCGAGCCUGAACCAGCCAAGUCGCGUGAAGGAUGACUGCCCUACGGGUUGUAAACUUCUUUUAUAAAGGACUAAAAUGAGGCACGUGUGCCUUUUUGUGUGUCCUUUAUGAAUAAGGAACGGCUAACUCCGUGCCAGCAACCGCGGUAAUACGGAGGAUCUGAGGGUUAUACGGGUUGAUUGGGUUUAAAGGGAGCGUAGAUGGGUUGUUAAGUCAGUUGUGAAAGUUUGCGGCUCAACCGUGACAUUGCAAUUGAUACUGGCAGCCUUGAGUACAGUUGAGGUAGGCGGAAUUCGUGGUGUAGCGGUGAAAUGCUUAGAUAUCACGAAGAACUCCGAUGGCGAAGGCAGCCUACUAAACUGCCACUGACAUUGAUGCUCGAAAGUGUGGGUAUCAAACAGGAUUAGAUACCCGGGUAGUC
rnacentral:rRNA from 1 species